rnacentral:rRNA from 1 species
AGUGAACGCUGGCGGUAGGCCUAACACAUGCAAGUCGAACGGCAGCACAGAGGAGCUUGCUCCUUGGGUGGCGAGUGGCGGACGGGUGAGGAAUACAUCGGAAUCUACUCCGUCGUGGGGGAUAACGUAGGGAAACUUACGCUAAUACCGCAUACGACCUACGGGUGAAAGCAGGGGACCUUCGGGCCUUGCGCGAUUGAAUGAGCCGAUGUCGGAUUAGCUAGUUGGCGGGGUAAAGGCCCACCAAGGCGACGAUCCGUAGCUGGUCUGAGAGGAUGAUCAGCCACACUGGAACUGAGACACGGUCCAGACUCCUACGGGAGGCAGCAGUGGGGAAUACUGGACAAUGAGCGCAAGCCUGAUCCAGCCAUACCGCGUGGGUGAAGAAGGCCUUCGGGUUGUAAAGCCCUUUUGUUGGGAAAGAAAUCCAGCUGGCUAAUACCCGGUUGGGAUGACGGUACCCAAAGAAUAAGCACCGGCUAACUUCGUGCCAGCCGCCGCCGUAA